GACGAACGCUGGCGGCGUGCUUAACACAUGCAAGUCGAACGAAGUGGCGAACGGGUGAGUAACGCGUAAUCACCCUGCCCUUCAGAGGGGGACAACAGUUGGAAACGACUGCUAAUACCGCAUACUGAAGGAGGGGAUUGCGUCUGAUUAGCUGGUUGGAGGGGUAACGGCCCACCAAGGCGAUGAUCAGUAGCCGGUCCGAUAGGAUGACCGGCCCAAUUGGGACUGGGACAAGGCCCAGACUCCUACGGGAGGCAGCAGGGGGGAAUCUUCCGAAAUGGAGGAAAGUCUGACGGAGCAACGCCGCGUGAGUGAGGACGGCCUUCGGGUUGUAAAGCUCUGUUAAUCGGGACGCGGUACCGGAAUAGAAAGCCACGGCUAACUACGUGCCAGCCGCCGCGGUAAUUC
rnacentral:rRNA from 1 species